rnacentral:rRNA from 1 species
UGCAAGUCGACGGUGAAGCCCAGCUUGCUGGGUGGAUCAGUGGCGAACGGGUGAGUAACACGUGAGCAACCUGCCCCCUACUUCGGGAUAAGCCUUGGAAACGAGGUCUAAUACCGGAUAUGAGCACUUACCGCAUGGUGGGUGUUGGAAAGUUUUUCGGUGGGGGAUGGGCUCGCGGCCUAUCAGCUUGUUGGUGGGGUAAUGGCCUACCAAGGCGUCGACGGGUAGCCGGCCUGAGAGGGCGACCGGCCACACUGGGACUGAGACACGGCCCAGACUCCUACGGGAGGCAGCAGUGGGGAAUAUUGCACAAUGGGCGAAAGCCUGAUGCAGCGACGCCACGUGAGGGAUGACGGCCUUCGGGUUGUAAACCUCUUUCAGCAGGGAAGAAGCGAAAGUGACGGUACCUGCAGAAGAAGCGCCGGCUAACUACGUGCCAGCAGCCGCGGUAAUACGUAGGGCGCAAGCGUUGUCCGGAAUUAUUGGGCGUAAAGAGCUCGUAGGCGGUCUGUCGCGUCUGGUGUGAAAUCCCAUGGCUCAACUGUGGGCUUGCAUCGGGUACGGGCAGACUAGAGUGCUGUAGGGGAGACUGGAAUUCCUGGUGUAGCGGUGGAAUGCGCAGAUAUCAGGAGGAACACCGAUGGCG